AAGUGUGCUUGUGGCUUCAUCAAUACAGAAAUUUGGAAGCAAUUAAUUUGGAGGAGGAAAGAGUCUAAGUAAGAUGCCUAACAGAUCUUGGUGCGUUGACAACCUUGAAACUUGAUGUUAAUGGACAGGUACAAAGAUGAAGAUGAGCUGAACAGUCUUAGUGGUUGAAGCUGCUGCAUGUAAGAUAAGCAUGUUAAAUCCAUGCCAUGUAUACUGCAAAUCCCAAUCCUGUGCACAAAGCAGGCAUUGCUAAGAAGACCCUGCUGUAUUUAAAAAGCCUAGAUGCACUGAUAGAACCCUCAACACAGGACUCCAGCCAUGGACUACCAUUGGUUCAGAGCUGCCAGUCCAGUAGUAGCUUAUGCAUCACCUACGGUAGAGUGGAAACUCUCCUGCACACGCCAGUCACUCCAAGGGCACUUUAAUUAAAACCACACAAAAUUUUUGUAGAUAACAAUAAACUUGAUUAUGGAUAAAUCAUGAAAUCAAUAAAUAUAGAGUUCCUGGUACUCACCACCACCACCCCUUCUCUAAUUUUUUUUCAAAUUCAGGUAAUCUCUAUACCUUUUGCUUAAAAAAGAAAAGACAAGAAAAUAAAAUUUUACCUUACAAUUCUAACCAUCCUGAAAAGUUUUUGUGGCCUGGGUUAGACAUGGGAAGGGGUUAGGAAGUUCUCAGUAAGAACAAAAGAAGCAAUUAUGCAGGUCAAUAUACAAUGCAUUGAUGACCUAGGUGUGUGGUGGAUGUAGGAGAUGGAAUUCAGCCAGGUGCAUAUUUUCCUGUAAGAGCCUCGAAUGAGUGUGGGAUGAAUAAGAGGAUGAAGGAAUGGUAUAUGUACACACACAGCAAUUUCUCAAUAAUGGAUUUUGCAGACAUAAAUGUCAUCUAGCUUUUAUCGUUUGGUAUAAAAUCUCAAAGGCCUUAGCAAAA
rnacentral:lncRNA from 1 species